rnacentral:lncRNA from 1 species
AAAGCCGCUUCCCCCGACCGGUGUCGGCUGUGUUCCACGUGUGCACGGUAUCGCGCGUUCGUCUCUCGUCUCUGUACCGACGACAAUGACCGCGUGUCGUGCAGCUUUCGUUUCGACAGCGUAGUCCGUGAACCGGUGUCCCGUAGCGACUUUGUCGUGACCGCCUUUGCUUGAUUGACGGACGUCGAGGGCGAAGCAGAGCGAAGAUGCUGCAAUGCGCUGCUUUGCCACAACAAGAGCAACACAGUAGGAUGACUAAAGGACGUAACACUUCUGGACGGGAAUUAUAUGUUGAAGAAUUGUUUUGAAAUGUACAAUAACGAAGAUAUUGGCAUUCUCCUUGCACCAUCAUCUGCGAGCUGCAAAGGCUCUCCACCUAAAGUAUGACAAGGAAGCAGUAGACUCAUCAUUCACGAUGCUUAUUUUAUGUGCUUCCAAGGGAUGCGGCCAAAGGACGACCUGUGGAAUAUUUGUGCGCUCGAUCGGCGCCGCAAUCUCCCGAGCAAAGUUCACCUUUGCUGAAGAUCCAAGCGUAAGAAACUGAAGCAGCAGACGGCUUCAAGCCAUGAUCUGUGCGAAUCACCUUUAUGGGAGCUGCAAAAAAGAAUAAAAAGUGUAUCCCCAGUGUUUAUGUACUUUUAUUAUACUGUAACAGUAUAUUUCUGAACAAACCAUCUGAAACAUGGUGGAUCGGUAGCACUGCAGAAAGCCGAUGAAUGCUUGUGAAAACAUGGAAAUACACAAAGCAGCAUACGAUCUUA